GCGUAGAUCGGAAUAACAAGACUUUUGUGGCGGCAAGGAUCGUGGCGAGUUGGAUCGGAGAUGAUGGAAAGGUGAAGAGGCGGAGAAGAAGGAGUAGACGCCGAGAGUUUCGGCGUCGUGCUCGCUGUGGUUCUCUAGGUGAGAAGCCAAAUAUUAAUCCCCUUCAUCUGAUCAAGUUUUGCGGAUUAAAUCGCUUAUUUGGGAUUGGGUUUAGUGGAGAAAUUCUCGAAGUCAUUUACGUUCAUGUUCUGAAAUUCUCGUCAGACUGAGCAGUCCAUGUUCAUCGUAAUGUUAGGGCAUUUUAGAGUCUUUAAUAAUUUUUGGGUCUGUGGACAAAGUUGUAGAGGACUUCAAUAUAUUUCUUUGGACGCCAAGAAUUCUAUCAUAGCAGUUAUAAUUUGUGAGAUAUCGAGUUUUCAAUCUGACUGGUUUCCAGUGACGAAAAUCUGGACAGUUUUGGAUCUAAGCAGUUUUUGACCCUGUUAAUUAAAUAAUUAGGUCUUUGAUUAUUAACAAAGGUUUUAGGAUUUUUGUUAAGCUUUCUAGAUUGGUAAAGUUUGUAACUUUUGAAUCAGUAUAUCUCCUGUUAUGAAUUUUUGAAGUUUGAUGUUCUGCUUUGAAGGUCAGAAAUAUUCAGUUGUGUUCGAUGGUUAAUUAUACCAUCUUGCAGAUCUUUGAUGCAAAACCUUACAAUAAAAAAGUUGUAUAUAACAGAGUUUUACAUGAUUUGAUAAAUUGUGGUAAUUUUUGGAUGAGUAUUCUGAAGUAUAUGAAAAAGAGAAGAGUCGGUGCUGCUGUCUUGAUCGGUAGCGCAAACGGUAGAGGCUUGAAUGUCGGGUUUGGGGCGCUUUAGUGCGUAUUUGUUCUUACUCUUGCUUGUAUGUUGGUGUAUGUACUAAUUAGUAUUUGUGAUCAGGUGGUAGCACUUCGGAACAUCGCUAGUGCUUUUGUUCUCCUUCGGUAAAGAGGCAAGUGAAUGUAGCGGUGGUUUGCUACCGUUUUGGCUUGUUAUUUUUAUCACCUACAGUUUAUUGUCUAUAAGAAUGUCACCUCUCUCAUAUCUAAAAUUUAUGAUUUGGGUAUAUUUAGUCAUAGUUAAAUUAUGGUCUUAUUUAAGUACUUAUGGUGAUGGUAUUAUUUUAUAUUGUUAUUUGUGGCUAGCCCGCAAACCUGAAUUUUAAGUUGGAGUAUCAUUGGUGAUUAUUAAUUUUAUUGCAACAUGCCAAGUGCAUUGCAUCAUUCAUUGGCAUUGGAAGUUAUGUCUUGACAUAUGGUCAUGACUGUACCGGUACGCAUCAUGGGAUGCAGCUCCACACCUUGUUGGGUGUGCAGGCAGGAGACAUAUGCAUUGCAUUCAUAUGCAUUCAUGAGAAGUAUGUUAUUGAAGGGAUUUUAUCCACGUUAUUAUGAAGCUCUGUAUUAUUGGCUAUGUUCCAAAUUGGAAGACUGUUACAUUAGUAUGAUAUUUUGUCAAUUGGGAACAUCAUAUUAAAUUGAUGUUAAUUCAAAUUGUGGUUUAAAUAGCUUGUCAAAACAAGUUCGCUUGCUGAGAUGUUUCAUCUCACCCUUGCUUUAUUCAAUCCAGGUACUUGAUGCUUACUUGGAAGGGAACGGAAUUAGCUGCACGUCACACACUUAUUCAUUUAGAGACCUUGUGUUUUAAUAAAUAAUAAUUUGGUUUGCUUAUUGGUUUUGAAGGCGAUUGUUAAAGUGUGGGUGUUAAACUUAAUUCUUGUUGAAGUAACUUAUUUGCGUUAGGAUGUUCAUUAAUCCUAGUUUGGUAUUUCAGUAUUUUUUAUAUUUUAUUCUUCUGCUUGCUAUAAAUACAAAGAAGAUGCUGCCAAAUUGUUUAUUGGUUGUGUGCAGCUGUUGUUUGUGUAGUCUAGUAGCAUCCCGGUGUAUUUGUGGUUUUCGGGGUGUUACAGUUGGUAUCAAAGCCAGGUUUUAGAUUCUCGGAAAAAAGUAAGAUUUAAAAUUACACACUUGCACAUGUAAGUUGGGUAUGGAUUUAUAUGUUAGGCAUACCUUUUGAUGCUAAGGUAUUUGUUUUUCUUAUGUAUCCAUAUGCCUAUGUUACAUAUCAUUGCUAUUGUUAACUUUAAGUCAUGUGUAAAUUUUAUAGGCUUUGUUUACCUAAUUUUUAUUUGUUGUUGCCAUAUCUUGUAUAUAUUAAAUAUGAUCUAGUGCAUAUUAGUUAUUCUUACAAGUACAAACUUGACAAGUUUUGUCGCUAUGAUGUUUUGCAUAAGUGUACCUUUAAAGUAUUGUAGUUUUAUGUGCUUGAGUAGCGAAGAUGAUGAAUGUUCUUUAUGUUUUGUUGAUAGCAAAAGAUCUUGGAACCUCGUAGAGUAGCUAUAGUUUAGUAGUACAGAUGGGCGGAGUGGAGGGCCCCCACAAUGCUUUUUCUGCACUACUAUGUGAGGGUUUUCUGAGAGAUAGGUAGCGACCCAACUAUCUGUAUUCGAAGAAAAUAGUUGAGUGACGGGUGGAUUGGCCCCCAUGCCGUGCACUCUAGCUAUUCUCUCUCGACAUAUUGAUUGGUGGGACGUUGUGUGACUUGCCCUAUAUGUUCAUGUUGUGAUGUAUAAACCUAAGCCUAGAAUGGUGUAGGUUAUGCCAUGGUGCAGUUGUAACCUUACACAGGUCAUAGUGAUUCAGUGAUAGAAGUGCAUAUUAAGAGUUACAUGUGGUUUGAGGGUUAUAUGCAAUCAUGUGUUUUUUUUGUCGAGUGCAUGCUGGUUAUCUAAUUAAUUUCUAGUGUCCAAGUAUGUGAGCUUACCCUUGUAAUGCUUGGGUGAAGUGUUUGCUUGAAGACAUGAUUUUACUGUGUUCUAGGUCAUGACUACUUUAUUAUAAGUUGCUUUAAAGUUGUCGUUUUUAUUUUGAGUAGGAUUUGGGUUUACUAAGCGGAGAAGUGCCUGAACUCUAGAAGUCAUAUUUGUUGCUAGUGCAUGAAUAGAUAUUUAGAAGAGUUGGUUAAAUUAGUAUUCAUGAUUCCAUAAGCGUUUAUCCUUAACAUGAUGUUCAUGUUCUUUAAAAAUGUGAAGUUGUCUCACUUCAUUCCUUAGCCGUGGCUAUUGUUUGACUGAACUGAUCUAAUUCUUUAUGUGCAUGCUUAAUAUGUCAUCUUCAACUUACUUACAUGAUUUGGUUGAAUUAGUCCUUGUAGAUGGCUUCUUGGGUUUGCAAGUCAUUUUUUUACUUGUGUGGUAUUUAUCUUUGUAGGUCAUACAUAUGUUGUCUGUGUUUAGUGUUGUUCUAGAAUUCAUGGACGAAUUCUUUUUAGUGUAUGUUAAGAAGCACAAAGUGGUAAAUGGUCCAAUGAGAGUUUUUUGAGUUGCAAAAAAAAUAUCCAAUGCCCGGAUGGAUGAUUAGAGACCAUAGUUGCGUAGAGCUCGAUGAACUCUUUCUGUUCGACUUCACGCGUUGUUUGGAGAUUGAUUUGCUCAACUAGGGCUGAUACAGUAUUUAUGGAAGGGAAAUAUAUAGUAGACCAUCAAUAAAUCGUGCUACGGUAUCAUAGUUGGCCGUAUUGCGAGCGUUUCUGGUGACUUUUCACCUAUGUCUCUUCUUUUCCUUUUUUCCUUGCCCCUAAUCCUCCUAGGACUCCCAUUUCUUUUUCUAAGACUUUGGAUUCAUGUUGUCUGCUGCUGCCAUUGACUAACCAGAGAAGGGAGGAAUGAUAGAGAAAAUAAGAAAGACAAGUGAAUGAGAAAAAAGGGAUUGCACAAACCCUAAGUUUUUUUUAUUGCAUAAUCUAGGUGAGAUGAAUCUUAUUUAACCCCCUUGCUUUGGAUUAGAUUUAUACCCUGGUUUUUUUUGUUAGAUUAGAUGGGGUAGUUCUCAUCAGUGAUCAUGUCCACAUCCUGAGAAUUUAUGAGGUUGUGUAGUCUGUGUUCAUUGCCAUCUUUAUUUUUGUUACAGGCCGAAUUGGCCAAACCAUUGAACACCAAAUUUAAAGAUAUUUUCUUUAACCAUCUGUAAAAUUUCAUGAUUUUAGGCUAUGUGGUUUGAGAUUUUUUUUACUAUAGUUGUUGCCGUUUCCAUGUUGUUCUAGAUAGUAAUAGAUUGAUCCAGUUUUUGUCAAUGCUAAAGGUCAAAUCAGUCUUUAUAAUGAAUACCAAAGUUGUAGUGUUUUUUACUAUCUUUCCAAUGGUGUAUGAUUCAGUGUCAUAUCUGAAAUAUAAAUUUAGAUUUAUGCUUUUGAAUUGAGUUUGUGAUUUCUGAUGUCAAAUUCUGUGUUCGAUGUUACUACCUUAACUAGAACAUCUUGAUGAUUUUUACUGAAAGUAUCUAUAGAACAAACGUUCUGUAUAAGACAAUUUUACAUGAUAGAGGUAAAGUUUCAUAAUUGUUGGUCAAGUGUUUUAUAGUAGAUAUCAAUAUUAUUUUGGUGACUAUUAGAAUUUAGGACAAAUUUCAUUUUUCUGAAUUCAACUCAGUUUAGGUAUGCUUAAAUUCAGAAUAAAAACAUUGUGUCUUCAUAAAAACUAUAAACCUUGUUUUGUAGUUUUCAAAUAUUCAUUUGUUUACUAUCAUUGCUUUUGAAAACUAAAGAUACAUAAAUAUCAAAAGGUUAUGCUGCUGUUAGCCAAAAAUAGUGUUGGUCAUUUUGUUUUUCUCAAUGGGUUGGAGUGUAGUGAUGCAUUACUUGUUAUUCAUAUAUGUUCAUGUUUGUGCCUAUAAGAUAGACAAAAUUGUAGGUUGCACCAUUGUUUCGGUUUGUUUUGUUUGUUUGGCAAAUUUGCCAAGCUUGAUAUAGUGUUUGUCCCAAUGGGGAGUAGCUAAGGUCACACCUGACCCUUUGAUAUGUGCAUGGUUGUCAUGCUAGUUGGUCUCGUUCCAUGAGGAAAAAGUUUUGAGGUGAAAGGAAGCAAGUGUUUUGUCUUCACUCAUAGAUGGGCACAUAGUCUAUGGUGUAUUAACAAGAACUAGUUUUGGCACGAAGUUCUGUUUCGUAGUUCAUGGUGCCACCUCAAGCUACUAGUUGGUUUGAGGCAAAUGUUGACCCAUGGAAUCAGUGAUCAUCAGUUGCUUGAUGGUUGUUCUAACCAGAAGUUUGGUAAUGUCCUCUAGGCAAAUUAAAUGUGAUAUACAAUCUUAUCAUUGAUUGUUCCCUGGAUGUUUCUUUGUCAAGUAAUUGGAGCACGUAGGAGGAUUAUGUCUAGCUCCUAGCUAGUUUAUUCCAGUCGAGCCUAUGAAAUUUCUUAGUUUGUUUCUUUUAUCAAGGAAUGAAAGGUCUAGUGGCUUGAUCAUUUAAUCGAGAAAGGCAGGAGACAUUUUUUUAUGGGCCACUUUAAGCUUGUCUUAGAAAUAACCUAUGUGUUUGUUAAGGCGGCAUUUUGUCAUCUUGUUCUUUGUCAUUGUAGGGAAGUUUGACAACUGUGGUGGAUUUUUUUUACAUGUCAGUUUGCUGCUGUAUGAAGAGCCAUCAAAGUAAGAAAGUGUGGCCUUAGAUUUUUUUAUAACCUUUAUGCUAUUAGAAUAUCCUUAUUGAGACCAUGAGUUUGAGUUCAAGCAUUGACUAUUCAUAGAUGAUCGAAAUUUCCGAGUUGAGUGUCCCAGUGCAUAUAUAUAUAUGAGUGUCAUUCGUUGGUGUUUGUGUUUUUGUUUGAAGUGCUUUUUACUGGGUAUCCAGAUCAAAAGUAUUCUCAGUAGUAGUUCCUUGCUUCAUAGCACGAGAUCUUGGCCAUGUUACAAGUGCAUCCUUUUGAGAAGAGUCUUAUACUUUUAGUUUGCUUAUAAUUGGAGGAAUUCGGGGACGAAUUCUUUUAAGGUGGUAGAAUGUAACAUCUUGAAUAUGUUUAUUGCGUUAGAAGUGUAAAGUGACAAAAUAAUAAUAAUUGUAAUUUUAUCCAUCACUCAAAUGAAUGAUCAGAGAUUUUAGAUGCGUAGAGCUCGUCGAAUGCUUUCAGUUGCACUACUCAUAUGUAUUGUUUGGAAUUUGGAUCAUGGAGAUAUAAAUUUCGGAAGUUUUAAGAAAGAAAAAAUAAACAGGUAGCGUUACGCUACAGUGCCGCGCCACUACAGUACCCGUGGUGGCCUUUUAUAUCCUCCUCUAAGGCCUUUAGGUUUCGUCCAUAGCUUUUCAUAUUCAGGAUAAAAAAAGAGGAGAGGGGAGAAAAGAGAAAGGAGUAGAGGGAAGGGGAGAAUAGGGCCUAGGGUUUUGCCGCCGCCGUUGCCGCCGCCGCCGUCGGUCAUCCGUGGUGGUCGUUCUUCCUCCCGUGGCGUAGAUCGGAAUAACAAGGCUUUUGUGGCGGCAAGGAUCGUGGCGAGUUGGAUCGGAGAUGAUGGAAAGGUGAAGAGGCGGAGAAGAAGGAGUAGACGCCGAGAGUUUUGGCGUCGUGCUCGCUGUGGUUCUCUAGGUGAGAAGCCAAAUAUUAAUCCCCUUCAUCUGAUCAAGUUUUGCGGAUUAAAUCGCUUAUUUGGGAUUGGGUUUAGUGGAGAAAUUCUCGAAGUCAUUUACGUUCAUGUUCUGAAAUUCUUGUCAGACUGAGCAGUCCGUGUUCAUCGUAAUGUUAGAGCAUUUUAGAGUCUUUAAUAAUUUUUGGGUCUGUGGACAAAGUUGUAGAGGACUUCAAUAUAUUUCUUUGGACGCCAAGAACUCUGUCAUAGCAGUUAUAAUUUGUGAGAUAUCGAGUUUUCAAUCUGACUGGUUUCCAGUGACGAAAAUCUGGACAGUUUUGGAUCUAAGCAGUUUCUGACCCUGUUAAUGAAAUAAUUAGGUCUUUGAUUAUUAACAAAGGUUUUAGGAUUUUUGUUAAGCUUUCUAGAUUGGUAAAGUUUGUAACUUUUUAAUAAGUAUAUCUCCUGUUAUGAAUUUUUGAGGUUUGAUGUUCUGCUUUGAAGGUCAGAAAUAUUCAGUUGUGUUCUAUGGUUAAUUAUACCAUCUUGCAGAUCUUUGAUGCAAAACCUUACAAUAAAAAAGUUGUAUAUAACAGAGUUUUACAUGAUUUGAUAAAUUGUGGUAAUUUUUGGAUGAGUAUUCUGAAGUAUAUGAAAAAGAGAAGAGUCGGUGCUGCUGUCUUGAUCGGUAGCGCAAACGGUAGAGGCUUGAAUGUCGGGUUUGGGGCGCUUUAGUGCGUAUUUGUUCUUACUCUUGCUUGUAUGUUGGUGUAUGUACUAAUUAGUAUUUGUGAUCAGGUGGUAGCACUUCGGAAUAUUGCUAGUGCUUUUGUUCUCCUUCGGUAAAGAGGCAAGUGAAUGUAGCGGUGGUUUGCUACCGUUUUGGCUUGUUAUUUUUAUCACCUACAGUUUAUUGUCUAUAAGAAUGUCACCUCUCUCAUAUCUAAAAUUUAUGAUUUGGGUAUAUUUAGUCUUAGUUAAAUUAUGGUCUUAUUUAAGUACUUAUGGUGAUGGUAUUAUUUUAUAUUGUUAUUUGUGGCUAGCCCGCAAACCUGAAUUUGAACUUGGAGUAUCAUUGGUGAUUUAUUAAUUUUAUUGCAACAUGCCAAGUGCAUUGCAUCAUUCAUUGGCAUUGGAAGUUAUGUCUUGACCUAUGGUCAUGACUGUACCGGUACGCAGCUCCACACCUAUGAUCAUGGGAUGCAGCUCCACACCUUGUUGGGUGUGCAGGCAGGAGACAUAUGCAUUGCAUUCAUAUACAUUCACGAGAAGUAUGUUAUUGAAGGGAUUUUAUCUACGUUAUUAUGAAGCUCUGUAUUAUUGGCUAUGUUCCAAAUUGGAAGACUGUUACAUUAGUAUGAUAUUUUGUCAAUUGGGAACAUCAUAUUAAAUUGAUGUUAAUUCAAAUUGUGGUUUAAAUAGCUUGUCAAAACAAGUUCGCUUGCUGAGAUGUUUCAUCUCACCCUUGCUUUACUCAAUCCAGGUACUUGAUGCUUACUUGGAAGGGAAGGGAAUUAGCUGCACGUCACACACUUAUUCAUUUAGAGACCUUGUGUUUUAAUAAAUAAUAAUUUGGUUUGCUUAUUGGUUUUGAAGGCGGUUGUUAAAGUGUGGGUGUUAAACUUAAUUCUUGUUGAAGUAACUUAUUUGCGUUAGGAUGUUCAUUAAUCCUAGUUUGGUAUUUCAGUAUUUUUUAUAUUUUAUUCUUCCGCUUGCUAUAAAUACAAAGAAGAUGCUGCCAAAUUGUUUAUUGGUUGUGUGCAGCUGUUGUUUGUGUAGUCUAGUAGCAUCCCGGUGUAUUUGUGGUUUUCGGGGUGUUA
rnacentral:lncRNA from 1 species